rnacentral:misc_RNA from 1 species
AAAGAGUCAGGUGAGUCAUCGAAUCUUUGAACGCACAUUGCGCCCUUUGGCAUUCCGAAGGGCAUACCUGUUCGAGCGUCAUUACACCUCUCAAGCACAGCUUGGUGUUGGGCGUCUGUCCCUGCGUUGCGCAGUGGACUCGCCUGAAAAGCAUCGGCGUCCGGCGGUUGGUCUUGCGCGUAGCAGAUUGUUCGCACAAGAACCAGGCCGCAGGGCUGUCGCACACGUCUUUUGAUUCUCAGUUUGACCUCGGAUCAGGUAGGGAUACCCGCUGAACUUAAGCAUAUCAAUAAGCGGAGG